UACAACAGGAACUUUGACGGAGACAUAAGGUUGGCAGAGAUUGGGAGAUCUCCAAGAGAAGAAGGCAUACUAGAGAUUGAGAGGGGAACAUCAACAUUGUGUGACUCUGAAAAGCUUGAGAAGAAGGCAUACCAGCGAUUUGUAGAUCUCCAAGAAGAUUAUAACCCUUUGAUUAUUUUAGGGAUCGAUGGUGGGUUAGGGUUUUUCUCCCAAUCAAACAAAGGGUAAAAUAGAUCUUUAGAUAGGAGGUGAAGAAGAUGUUUCUCGUUUGGACGAUGGUGAUGAAACCGAGCUUCGGGUUUUAGGGCUAUUGGUGAUGAAAGUAGCAAUGCUACUUUCUUCAGGGUUGUUCUGUUAGUUCGUUGAGGAAAGUUAAUCAUUUAUCUUAUAAUUUUUGAUGAGAUGUUUACAGCAUUUAUGCAUUGUUUAUUUUCUUUCUUAUUCCAGUAUGAUGAAGCAAGGGAGUUUGUAGAGAGAGCUCGCUGCACUGGUUCAAAGAGCUUUAUUUCCAAGGUAUUGGUGAACUACUUGCAAUAACAGUAGUGUCUUUCCUUACUUGAGGGUGAUCACAAGAAAGCAAAAAGUUUAGCAGGAAUACUCCAUUGAGAUCUACGAGUGGUCUGGAACUAGCUGUGAACCAUUGUUGCUGAUGAUGUCCAAGUGCAGUUGUACAUGAUGAGCCCCUAUGUGACGAAAACGUUACAGCCGGGAACCAUUGUUGCUGAUGGAACUAGGGACAACAAAGGCAACUUUUCUACAGCAAUUGCAGCACCUAGGUAGAGACUGAGGCAGAGGCAAAUAGCAAAAAUGAACUGUUCCCACUAGACUGCUUGGGCUGUUGGAUAUCAUUUUUUUUAUCAGAAGAAAAGGAAUUUUAUUAAUGAAAUAUUAGGAAUUA